UGGACUUGACAUAUUCAUGAAAGCCCUGUGAAAGCAGAGCCCUCGACGACUUCGGUCAACGACAUGAUUAC
rnacentral:rRNA from 1 species